rnacentral:rRNA from 1 species
UACGUAGGGCGCAAGCGUUAUCCGGAAUUAUUGGGCGUAAAGAGCUCGUAGGCGGUUUGGUAAGUCUGGUGUGAAAAUCUCCACGCUCAACGUGGAGGGGCCACCCGAUACUGCCAUGACUGGAGUCCGGUAGAGGAGUGUGGAAUUCCCGGUGUAGCGGUGAAAUGCGCAGAUAUCGGGAGGAGCACCCGUAGCGAAGGCGGCACUCUGGGCCGGUACUGACGCUGAGGAGCGAAAGCGUGGGGAGCAAACAGG